GGGUGAUACAGAAAAAUUUUCCCAGGAUGAGCAUUGAUCCCAGUUGGUUAGUUGCGAGUAUGUAACAAGGGUGUGGCCAUCUCCAGUAAGGUUAAUUCCCAAGAAGGAUUCAUGGGUGUACCAAAUGACGAAUACGCCUACAGUUGCUAUCCCUACAUAAAUCCCAGUGACCAGAUAGCGGAAUAAAAUCCAGGCAGUGAUCAAUGAAUCACCCCUUCUACGGGGAGGCUUCUUCAUUAUGUCCUUAUCUGGAGGAUUG
rnacentral:misc_RNA from 1 species